rnacentral:lncRNA from 10 species
GUAAAGGCUUGUGCAGUAUUUUGGCUGAGUCAUGGGAGAAACUAGUCAGCAGCUAAGGUCAAGUUUAGGACAAAGAAACGCUGCACAAGGAGGCUGAGAAAGAAGAAACAGGAUAGGGGAGAAGAUGUCUGUAGGACCCUGAGGAGUCUUCAGGUUACAAACAAUAACAAACACCACCAAAGGACAGGCUUCAGAAAAAUGGAAAAUUGAUCUAACAAGGAAGAAGUAUUAUGAAGCAAUGUUAAAAAGAAAUUGGUAAUAAUUGCCAACAGAGAAAACCCUUCAAAGAGAGUUGCUGCUUUUCCUAAGGGUUUCCAAGGAUCCAAAAACCUUCGGAAGUUCCAAGGAUCAAGUCCCAGGAUCUAAGCUGGACCUUUCCUGGAACAAAUUCCUUCAGACAAAUUCUCCACCAGACCAUCAACUCAGGAGGGCAAACAAGGAACUUGUUUUCAAGAGCUGGAGCCAAACCACCCAGAGUUUCCUGUGCCAGAAUACAAGCUUCAGGAGUGUGAGGUUUUACUGUAUUUUGAUUACAAGGACUAUCCACAGUACCUAGAAGAAUGGCAAUACCUGGCAUAAGAUAAGUACUCAGGAAGCCCAGAGCCAGGAAGGCCCUCUUCCCAAUGGUUGCCUGGUUACAGACUUAGAUGUUCGCCAGGGUAACAUCUGGAAUAAAGAUGCCUUUGAGAAUCUCAUGUAAUGUGAAGGACUCUGCCAAGAAAAUGUCAAAAAGCUACAUAUGUACACAUGGAGUCUGCAUUCAAUUUCAAAAUAUUCCAAGACUCGGCAGAGAACUAUGGAUCCUCAAUUUAGAAACCCUGGAGUACUGGGAGGAUAAAGAUGAGCCAGGUUGCAUUUCUGAAUACAAAAAGGUUGGAGGUGAAGAGUCAGGAGAAAAUGCAAAUGGAAGAAUUGACAACACCGUCCCAAUCCCCACCCUCCAGGACACAUGCUUCCCAGGAAUCCAAGCGACAUUGCUUCUGAGUUUAAUGUUCAGAUUUAGCAAAGCAGGCUUUUGGGGUCCCGUCAACUCUUUAAAAUAUUCAACAAGCCUCCCUUCUCAACUCCCUACCUGUAUUUCUUUCUCCAUGUAGUGCACUACCCACGAUGUGCCUUUAAAGAAACUAUGUCAAUUCACAAUGAACAUGCUGACUGGGAAUUCACUCUUUAAAUGUGUUCACAACUGUGAAUUAUUAAACUUAGGCUAUAGAGAAAAGCUUAUCCUGGUGGUAAAAGAUACUUGGGAUUUUCUGUAAAGCUUCACAGAAUGGCAAGAGUUACUUGAGGAGCAAAACAAAACAUAGUAAUGAAAGAAAACAGCUUCUGGGCUUUCUAAUGUUCCUGUUCUUUCUACAGCCAGUGCCAAAAAUCUCAGGAAUGGGGCUUUGAUCGUUGGAGAACUUUUGUCAACAAAUAAGGCAGUCACAGGAUAAUAAAGCUGAAUCCUUCCUGAAUGUCUCUAAAAUGUUCAUGGUUCUUUCUAGCUUUAUGGUUGGUCACUGCCUGAAGUCAAUCUGCCAUGACCAUGUAGUCUUAUUUUAAAAAUGCAACAGCCCAGUUCACUGGGCUUCCUCACUCCACCUGCCUUCACCAUCACCCUCUCUCCUCCUCCUGCCAUUACCACCCUUAUCUAUCCAUCACACACAUAACCUCUCAAAUUAUCUUUCUAAAACGAAGAUACUGAUCCAAACCUUCCUUUCAGGAGGAGUUCAUCUGCCUAGACCAGCAUUCAGGGCCCUUCUGAUCUAGCUCCUGUUCACUUCACCAACCUCAUGUCCCUUCACCCCUCUUGUUUCCCCAAAGCCUGAGUUUCAGCCACACCACACACCUCAGUCCCUAAGACAUGUUGUCCUCUCUAUGACCUUAGCACACACUGCUGUCUUGUGACUGAAUACCUGGCAAACUCCAAUCUAGUCCUCAAGAUGAACCUCAGCAAUUAUAUCCUCUGGGGUGUCCUCUCCAGUCCCUUCCCCACUCUUGGCAAAGGUAAAUUGUCUUUCGGUACCUACCUUUAAUAGCAUAUAAUAUAGUAACUGUAAUAUGUUGUUUGGGGGAACAGUGUUUAUAGAUUUGUUUCCUUACCCUAGACCAUGAGCUUCAUGAGAGCAACU